rnacentral:rRNA from 1 species
UACGGAGGGUGCAAGCGUUGUCCGGAUUUAUUGGGUUUAAAGGGUGCGUAGGCGGCUUUAUAAGUCCGUGGUGAAAGCCAACAGCUCAACUGUUGAACUGCCAUGGAUACUGUAAGGCUUGAGUACAGACGAGGUAGGCAGAAUGGAUGGUGUAGCGGUGAAAUGCAUAGAUACCAUCCAGAACACCGAUUGCGUAGGCAGCUUACUAGGCUGUAACUGACGCUGAGGCACGAAAGCGUGGGGAGCGAACAGG